CAGGUUUGUGUUCAACAAACAAUUCACUCUUGUGCUUGAUUUAUUCCUUGAGAGUAAACAUAUUGUAACUUUUAGAAUAACUUAGUGGCUGCAGGGAAUCGUCACCAUCAUCAGGUUGCCAUAUGUUUACAUGGAGGAACUGAUUCAUGUGAUUUGAAUGCCUGGCACUAAAAAUCAUUAAAAUAGAUUGUUUAAGGACCAGCUUUGGAGGGCCUUUCGUUUGGUAGAGGAUCUGAGGAGAUGUCUGGAGCCGUGGCCUUUCGCACCUUCAUCUCCAUUCUGGACCUAAAGUCGCAUCGAUUUACUGCUCCAAAACCCUUCUCUGGGAAUCUGAGACAGCUCCAUGUAGUUGACUUUGAAUUCAUUUCGCUUCACACCAACAUAGAGGGAUCACCCUGUGUUUCCCCUUCCAUUAUAUAUGAGCGAUAUUUGCUUGAUGC